CUAUCUUGAAUGACUAACAUCUUCAUCGGCCGACGCGGGCCGCGGACCAAAGGCGCCGGCCGACCGGGCCAGCGUGUUUCCUCGGACGCACGCUGGCCAGGGGAGCCGCCCGCCUCCGCUGCCCUCGCCCCCGGGCGCAGUCGGGCUCACCGCGCCGGCACUGAAUUGCCAGUUCAGAACUGCUUACCCAGGGGAAUCCAACUGUAUAAUUAAAACACAGGCUUGCGACGCAGAUAAGUUCUGUUUGACGCAAGCUGAUUUCUGCCCAGUGCUCUGAAUGUCAAUGUGACGAGAUUCACCUACGCGCGGGUAAACGGCGGGAGUAACUAUGACUCUCUUAAGGUAGCCAAAUGCCUCGUCUUCUAAUUAGAGACGCGCAUGAAUGGAUUAAUGAGAUUCCCACUGUCCCUAGCUACCAUCUAGCGAACCAACUGCGUCAAGGGAACGGUCUUGAAUGAUUAAGCGGGGAAAGAAGACCCUGUUGAGUUUGACUCCAGUCUCAGUUUGUCGGGCGGCAUAGGAGGUGUAGUCAUAGGUGGGAGGUGCAAACCGGUUCUGAAAAACCACUUCUUCUAUCGUUACUCUGCAAAUUCAAUGGUAAAGCACAGGGGGUUAUGCCGGCUUCGGCCGGCAUUCGCGUCGCGGCUCCCCCGGGAGCCGCGGCCAACUUCCCUCUUACAGAACUAACCGCGCCCCCUGGGGGGCGCGCCAGCUUCAGUUUGGAAACCAGACUGAGAUGGGGAGUUUGGCUGGGGCGGCAUAUCUGCUAAACAACAACGCAGGUGUCCUAAGGCGAGCUCAGUGAGGACAGAAACCUCACGUAGAGCACAAGGGCAAAAGCUCGCUUGAUCUUCGACUUUCAGUACUAGUCGAGAAAGUGAAAGCUUGGCCAGCGAUCCUUUGAGCACGUACAUUCAGGUAUAAUGCCAGAGGUGUCAUAAAAAUUACCACAGGGAUAACUGGCUUGUGGCAGCCAAGCGUUCCUAGCGACGUUGCCGUUUGAUCCUUCGAUGUCGGCUCUUCCUAGCCUUGCGCCGCAGCAGACGCAAAGGGUCGGAUUGUUCACCCGGAUGAGGGAACGUGAGCUGGGUUUAGACCGUCGUGAGACAGGUUGGUUUUACCCUACUUAAUCGUACAUAUCAACUCGGCGCUCCGAGGGUAAUGCGAAGUAGUACGAGAGGAACUUUCGUUUCGCCUCACUAGCAACCGCGGUCCUCCGAAGCGAGGCGCCGCAACGCCACCAGGCGAUGAUUCACAGCUGAACGCCUCUUAAGCUGGAAAUCAACCCCGACGAGCGCCUUGGCCGCACGGCCAACCGGUGCCGAAGUGUAUGCCCGCGACGGUAUGGUCCUCGGACCGCCAUCGGGCAGCUCUAUCGAGCCAUCGUAACGUACGAGUAGGUACCACGGAACACCUGGAACAUACGAUUCCAGAUGCACAGCCAGGUAUACGUGCUGGAGGAAUCUAGGUUCCGACUCACUGAGCCUGUGUGAUGUGCCAAUAGGUGCGA
rnacentral:ncRNA from 1 species